GUAUAUGUAUAUAAGUUGAUUCAAUGAUUCAAGCAUCAUCUCUAGGUGAGAUUUAAGUUAAGUUCUGGAAUGAAUAUAGGUAGCUCAGUCUUGGGGGUUUCCCUUAAAGCUCUAAUGACUAUUCAAUCUCACUUAGAGAAGAUUAGUUCAUGUGGUGAAGAGCAGUAGGGGGUCCUAGUCUUGGUUGUCUCCAUUUUAUAUGGGCCAAGGUGAGUGAUAACGGACUAACCUUGUGUGUGGUAGGGUGAAACCCAUUGGCAAUGGCUUUGCAAAGCAGUAGAGGCCACCACAAGUGCAUAACCCGCCAUAGCUCGAUAUUCAUUUCGGGUCCGGACGAGUCUAAGUCUAACACUAUCUAAUAAAACUAUAACUCAUAAUCUAUUAAAGCAGUCCUUCUAUGAUUGCAGGAACUUGUAUGUCUCUUUUACUUUGUUUAAUUUAAAUUGUUUUGUAUUCUUUGAAAUUCUAGCUUACCCUUGCUCUGUUUGUUGUCC
rnacentral:lncRNA from 1 species